GGUUAGUUAUAAAAGUGAGUUGGGCUCCUCUUGCCCUCUCUCCUGUGUUCUCUGGCAUGUGGUACCUUUCACCAAACACCAAAUGGACUAAGACAACUACUUCAUCAUCACAACAAACUUAUUGAGGAACCCUAUUUUUACCAGCAUUUGUAAAAUGAGAAAACUCAAACACAGUGGGAUAUGCAACCGCCGAAAUUCACACGAUUCACCACUGUGCUGUCCAGCUGGCUCUGAAGAAGCAAGCCACCACAUUGCUCACUGCUCAUGGAGAGGAACACACAUGGAGGAACUGUGCAUAGCCUCCAGGAGCUGAGUGUAGCUUCCAGGUGACAGUCAGGAAAAAUCUAGAGCUCUCAGUCCUACUACCGAGAGAUCAUCUAGUAAGAGACUGCAAAAAAAGAAGAGCAACUGGGAGCAAUUCCUAAGAAUAACCAAUAUUUAAAGUUUAGUUAGAAAAGGAACCAGCAGUAGCUGAGACAUAUUUAUGAGCACUGGGUCCACCCUCAAGAAACUGCUGUAUCACCAUACUCUUCUAAUACUCUAAGAAUUCUUCUUCAUAUGUAUCUGCCCCUAUUUUCUGCCUCGGUGGUUGUUCAGCAUUAAUUCAGGAGGAUUCAGAGAAAAACAGUUUUAACAGGCACAGCUUUAACAUUCAUUUUCGACCCACUGAAGAGGAGAUGAGCUUAUUGGCUGGUGCACCUUGACAACAUGUAGGUGGAAAACAGGACAUUCAGUCUUUGGUGCAGAGUGGUCUGGGAGAUACUUAUGAACCAUUUUAGCACAUUUCAGGACCAGGUAACAAAAUCAACACUGCACUGAAGUGGCAUCAGGAAGAUCCAUCCACAGAAGCAAUGUCUGCUAUGCAGGAAGCAGCUUCAUCAAGGUGGAAGCAGGUCUGUGCUUCCAGGCUGGCCAGUAUCGUUCAUGAAAACAGCACAUUGUGGCUGACUAUGGUUUGAAGAAACAAAGGAAGCCAAAGAAAACAAAAAAUGCUAACGGAGAAUUUAAUCCAUCUCUCAGAGGUGGAGGAAGUUUCAUUGGAAUUGCUCCCUGUUCUUUUACUCUUCUUUCCCCCGAAGGGAGUGUGGUAGAUUGAGUUUAGAAGACAGCCCUGAACAUGUAUGGCUCAGCCCUUUUGCUCCAUUUUGUCUUGGAGAAGGGCUGGAUUCUGUGCUAUUCUCCUGUGCUUUAAGUUUUGUAGCUACGGGAUUUAUCUAACAGCCUGACUGGUUUGGAAAGUCUGUCUUAUUUUGAUGUUUUCUGUUACCUAGCCCGCUAACAUGUUUUUCAAGAAAUAUAGCUAGUAUUU